rnacentral:misc_RNA from 1 species
AGUGAAAUAAAAUUUUGAAUACAUGAUGUCUGGAUAUGGAAUUCUAUAUUUUAGCUACUGCAUUUAGAGCACCUGGAAUUUUAUGAUUUUUGGUGAGAGUGUUAAGUCAUUAGAUUUUUAAUGAUACUUAGCCAAUUGUUGAUUCCUAAAAAUUGUUCUUAUGUUAGAAGUUAUACAAUGUAAUGAUGCAGUAGUAGGGAAAAACAAUAAUAAAUUAAAUUGCAUGGAAAAAAAAA